AGGACUCAUUUUAUAAUAAAAAACAAUACUACAUGUCUCUGAAAAUCUUGCCAAACAAUUCUAUGUCUGAGGGUUUUCCAGAAGACAACUAUUGUUGCUUAGACAUAGCCAAUAGUUUGGACAAAGACUGUGAAAAUCUAAAAGACACUUGUUUCUCUGGUCCCUGCCAAGGAAUUGCCACUUGUGUGAAUCACCCAGGAGAAAGGGGCUUCUGGUGCCCUUGUCUUCCUGGAAUAAAGGGGCUUGCCUGUGAGUCCUCCACUAAUUACUGUGGAGAGAACACCUGCCAACAGGAAGACCUCUUCCAUAAAGAUCCUGAGCACCCUGUCUGUGUCUGCCCUGCUGGAUAUGCUGGAAGGUUCUGUGAGAGAGAUCACAAUGAGUGUGCUUCCAGCCCUUGUCAUAAUGGCGCUGUAUGCCAGGAUGGAAUCAAUGGUCACUCCUGCUUCUGUAUGCCUGGAUGCCAAGGUGUUCUAAGUCUUUGUGACUUAGAAGUAGAUGAAUGUGUUUGAUUCCCAUGCGAAUGAGACUGUGUGCCCCAAUAAGAUAGGAAGACACAUGUGUCUCUCCUCAAGAUUAUUCUGAUGUGAACUGUGAGUUGGAAAUUGAUGAAUGUGGAUCCCAGCCAUACCUACACAUGGUGCCACAUGUCAGUAUGCUCUUGGGGCUUACUUACUUGGAUUCCUAGAAGACUACUGUGAACUCAGCUUUGGUGAAUGUGCCAGUCAGCCAUGUUUUCAUGGAGGUCUACAUGUGGAAGGAGGAAACAACUACUAGUGAGACAGCAUGGGUUGUGGAUUCACAGGGACACACUGUGAAACUUUGAUGUCUUUUGUUGGUCAAAGCCUUGUCACAAUGAUACAACAUGUGAAGACACCAUUGAUAGCUAUUUUUGCCACUGU
rnacentral:lncRNA from 1 species